CAGCAGCCGCGGUAAUACGGAGGGGGCUAGCGUUGUUCGGAAUUACUGGGCGUAAAGCGCACGUAGGCGGCUUGGUAAGUUAGAGGUGAAAGCCCGGAGCUCAACUCCGGAAUUGCCUUUAAGACUGCCGAGCUAGUAGGUGAAAGAGGUAAGUGGAAUUCCGAGUGUAGAGGUGAAAUUCGUAGAUAUUCGGAAGGACACCAGUGGCAAAGGCGGCUUACUGGCUCAUUCUAGACGCUGAGGUGCGAAAGCGUGGGGAGCAAACGGGAUUAGAUACCCCAGUAGUCCCUGUCUCUUAUAC
rnacentral:rRNA from 1 species